rnacentral:rRNA from 1 species
AUUGAACGCUGGCGGCAGGCCUAACACAUGCAAGUCGAGCGGAUGAAGGGAGCUUGCUCCUGGAUUCAGCGGCGGACGGGUGAGUAAUGCCUAGGAAUCUGCCUGGUAGUGGGGGAUAACGUCCGGAAACGGGCGCUAAUACCGCAUACGUCCUGAGGGAGAAAGUGGGGGAUCUUCGGACCUCACGCUAUCAGAUGAGCCUAGGUCGGAUUAGCUAGUUGGUGGGGUAAAGGCCUACCAAGGCGACGAUCCGUAACUGGUCUGAGAGGAUGAUCAGUCACACUGGAACUGAGACACGGUCCAGACUCCUACGGGAGGCAGCAGUGGGGAAUAGUGGACAAUGGGCGAAAGCCUGAUCCAGCCAUGCCGCGUGUGUGAAGAAGGUCUUCGGAUUGUAAAGCACUUUAAGUUGGGAGGAAGGGCAGUAAGUUAAUACCUUGCUGUUUUGACGUUACCAACAGAAUAAGCACUGGCUAACUUCGUG